CCUACGGGCGGCACCAGUGGGGAAUAUUGCACAAUGGGCGCAAGCCUGAUGCAGCCAUGCCGCGUGUAUGAAGAAGGCCUUCGGGUUGUAAAGUACGUUCAGCGGGGAGGAAGGUGUUGUGGUUAAUAACCGCAGCAAUUGACGUUACCCGCAGAAGAAGCACCGGCUAACUCCGUGCCAGCAGCUGCGGUAAUACGGAGGGCGCAAGCGUUAAUCGGAAUUACUGGGCGUAAAGCGCACGCAGGCGGUCUGUUAAGUCGGAUGUGAAAUCCCCGGGCUCAACCUGGGAACUGCAUUCGAAGCUGGCAGGCUAGAGUCUUGUAGAGGGGGGUAGAAUUCCAGGUGUAGCGGUGAAAUGCGUAGAGAUCUGGAGGAAUACCGGUGGCGAAGGCGGCCCCCUGGACAAAGACUGACGCUCAGGUGCGAAAGCGUGGGGAGCAAACAGGAUUAGAUACCCCGGGUAGUC
rnacentral:rRNA from 1 species